GAUGAAGAACGUAGCGAAAUGCGAUAAGUAAUGUGAAUUGCAGAAUUCAGUGAAUCAUCGAAUCUUUGAACGCACAUUGCGCCCGCUAGUAUUCUGGCGGGCAUGCCUGUUCGAGCGUCAUUUCAACCAUCAAGCCCUGUUUAGGCUUGUGUUGGGGCCCUGCGGUUGCCGCAGCCCCCUAAAUGCAGUGGCGGGCUCGUUGUCACUCCGAGCGCAGUAGCGUAUCUCGCUCUGGGCGUGGCGGCGGGUGCUAGCCGUGAAACCCCCUACUUUUAAAGGUUGACCUCGGAUCAGGUAGGAAUACCCGCUGAACUUAAGCAUAUCAAUAAGCGGAGGA
rnacentral:misc_RNA from 1 species